CAGCAGCCGCGGUAAAACAGAGGGUGCGAGCGUUAAUCGGAUUUACUGGGCGUAAAGCGUGCGUAGGCGGCUAAUUGAGUCGGAUGUGAAAUCCCCGAGCUUAACUUGGGAAUUGCAUUCGAUACUGGUUAGCUAGAGUGUGGGAGAGGAUGGUAGAAUUCCAGGUGUAGCGGUGAAAUGCGUAGAGAUCUGGAGGAAUACCGAUGGCGAAGGCAGCCAUCUGGCCUAACACUGACGCUGAGGUACGAAAGCAUGGGGAGCAAACAGGAUUAGAUACCCCAGUAGUCCCUGUCUCUUAUAC
rnacentral:rRNA from 1 species